UACGGAGGGUGCAAGCGUUGUUCGGAUUUAUUGGGCGUAAAGGGCGUGUAGGCGGUUCGUUAAGUCUGAUGUGAAAGCCCCGGGCUCAACCCGGGAAGUGCAUUGGAAACUGACGAACUUGAGUACGGGAGAGGGCAGUGGAAUUCCUAGUGUAGGAGUGAAAUCCGUAGAUAUUAGGAGGAACACCGGUGGCGAAGGCGGCUGCCUGGACCGAUACUGACGCUGAGACGCGAAAGCGUGGGGAGCAAACAGG
rnacentral:rRNA from 1 species